GGAUAUGAGGGUGAUCUGGCUGUGACAUAUGUCAUCCCAUUGAUCGCCAUGGUUGAUUUGGCUAAUCUUGCUGGCUAGCAGGGUGUCCCCUUCCUCCCUCACUGUUCCAUAUGUGUCCCUUCCAAAGGACCAUGUGCUUGGUCAAAGAGGACGGCCUUCCCCGAAUAGAGAGAGACUUGCCUUUGCUUGAGGAUAUACAAGUAGCUGCUAGAACCUCCAAACAAGAUCUCAAUUCUGUUCCAAAGGUCUGUGUGCCUAUUUUUGUUCCA
rnacentral:snRNA from 1 species